rnacentral:lncRNA from 1 species
AAUGCUAGACGCUGGGGGGCAGAGUGUUAGUAGCAGAAAUGCUCCUUUCAGACCAGAGGAAUCUUAGAAGUGGUUCUCCCUCUGCCAGGUGUCGUCUCAGCCUCUCCUCGAUCAACCUCAGCUCCAAGGACCCUCAAGAAAGUUGGAAUUCUGGAGGGAAUUAUGAAGAAAGUUAGAAGCCUCUCUCCAUAUUCCAAGAAGAUGAAUGUAACAGAUGCAGAGUGGAAGGGGAGCAAGAUGGAAAGUGACUAAGAGGUCAUGAAAGUACGCAAAGCUUUAGACAGUCUGUGGACCUUGGGAUGAGGAAGGAGAAAAAUUAAAGCAUGGAGUGUUCCACAUAGAAGGCAUCUCAGUAAAAACUCUGCCUUUUAUUGAAUGACUGGAGGAGUGAUGGCUAACUAAAAUGUAUUGGGAUAACAGAACAAGCACCCGUGCAUCUGUACCAAACAUAGGAAAUAAAACUAUUGCAAAUAUUAUCCGAGCCUCUUGUGAACUCUCUCUCAUUGCAUUCCCCUGAAGUUGGCAUCACUCUUCUGGACGUUUUAUAUUUCUAAUACAUAUGUAUGAAUUCCAU